CUGCCGACCUGCGAGUUAAGUCCGGUCCUCCACGUGGUGUCCAGUCCUGGGCUGAGCGUGGGGGGGCAACAAAAUGGCCAGCUCUUCUGCUUGAAAAUGAAGCCAAGCAGUUCAUUACAAUAAGGCAGGAGUGAAAGCUGCUGGCAACUCUGUCACCAUGGCAGCGGCAUCUGGAGAACAUGCAAAAUGCAUUAUUCCAGGAGCUGAGAAGAUUGAUUUCUGAAUUUGUACUGCGAGGCUGGGCUGUCUGGGGGAUGUAAAAUCAAUUUUCUUUAAACCCCUGGAUUACGUGCAAUGCCAUCAUCCUUGGAAGAAGGGAAUUGCAUAUUAAAUCCUGACAUGCCUUAAAGAUGGUCAGUACCAAGUAAAUGGGAAGCCUGAAGAAAUGAAAAGGAAGAAGGAAUGGGAUUACAGCUAUGAGUCUGAGGUUCUUGAAUGCCUUAUGACCAAUCAUCUCUUUAAUAGAGUAUAACCUGGGGAAUAGUCAGUAGGGGUCCAGUCUUCAGAACAUAUGCAGGAGCCUCUUUUUGCUGCCAACCCACGUAGAGGAUUUGGUGAGCUUGUUUCUAAUGUUCAUAAUAAUGUGUAAUAGACAUGCUUUGCACCCAGUUCAGAGCAUAUGCAGGUGUUCUGUCAUUAUUUCCUGUUCAUUUUGGUGGAUACAACUCUUUUAACUUGAUUUGACCUGACAAACAGGUUAAAUUUCAUGGUCUCUUUCUUUGUGGUGAUUGAGAGAAGAAAUGCUGUAAGCUCCUGGGUGAGAAGAGAGAUGCCCAAAGCCUUUAUUUCCUCCACUAGACAAUGAACCCGUGUGGCCCAUGAACACAAGGCCCUGAUGUUUCUUCUGCCCCUAUUGUGUUUUUUUUUCUGAUUUUAAGCGAAAGAGUAUUGGAGAGAGAACAAUCUUGUGAAUUUUGCAAGUUUGGAAGAGCCAGCAGAGUUUUCCAGGAGCUGAGCCCAGUGAGCAGUGACUUCUGGGACACAAUCUGCUUGACCCAUAUCAUCAGCGGAUAGACCCAAUGCCAAGACACCAUGUAUUUGCCACAGGCAAAGAAGCAGCUCAUGAAUUGGCUGGGCUGUACCUGGACAUUAAUUCAGUGGAAGGAGGAAUAUGUGUGUAGCAUCCAUUUUGAGUUUUAGCCCACUUUCUGCAGGGACUAAAAUGGUAAGGUGGAGAAUGUG